UCUCGAUUGGUCUAGUGGCUAGGAUACCUGCUUGUCAAUUCGGUGUUCCGCACCGGUUAGCAAGCCGCAGGUGGCCGGGGUUCGAUUCCCCGAUCGAGAG